UACAGAGGCCUCGAGCGUUAGGCGGAAUCACUGGGCUUAAAGCGUGUGUAGGCGGACUUCUAAGUACCUUGUGAAAUCCCACGGCUUACCCGUGGAACGGCUGGGUAUACUGGGAGUCUUGAGCCACCUAGGGGCGAGUGGAACAAAUGGUGGAGCGGUGAAAUGCGUAGAUAUCAUUUGGAACGCCAAUGGUGAAAACAACUCGCUGGGGGUGUGCUGACGCUGAGACACGAAGGCCAGGGGAGCGAACGGG
rnacentral:rRNA from 1 species